rnacentral:rRNA from 1 species
CAGCCGCCACGGUAAUACGGAGGGGGCUAGCGUUGUUCGGAAUUACUGGGCGUAAAGCGCACGUAGGCGGCUUGGUAAGUUAGAGGUGAAAGCCUGGAGCUCAACUCCAGAAUUGCCUUUAAGACUGCCGAGCUAGCAGGUGAGAGAGGUAAGUGGAAUUCCGAGUGUAGAGGUGAAAUUCGUAGAUAUUCGGAAGAACACCAGUGGCGAAGGCGGCUUACUGGCUCAUACUGGACGCUGAGGUGCGAAAGCGUGGGGAGCAAACAGGAUUAGAGACCCCUGUAGUCCCUGUCUCUUUACA